ensembl:lncRNA
CCCUGAUCCACUUCCUUUUUUCCAAAGCACUUUGUUGUUGUUCAAUCUCUCAUCCUAGGGGAAAAAGUGAAAGUGAAAGUCGCUCAGUCGUGUCCGACUCUUUGUCCAUGGAAUUCUCCAGGCCAGAACACUGGAGUGGUCUCUUCCCUUCUCCAGGGGAUCUUCCGAACCCAGGGAUCAAACCCAGGUCUCCCGCAUUGCAGGCGGAUUCUUCACCGACUGAACUAUCAGAGAAGCCCUCAUCCUCGGGGACUGGAAUGCAAAAGUAGGAGGUCAAGGAUACGCAUUAACAGGCUCAGCGGAGGUCAAGUAUCUCUCCUCGUCCCUUGACUUUGAACUUGGCCAAUGAUGGUGUGUCAGUUUCCAACUCUAGACCUUGGGAAGCCUCCCACGUUUCUGCAUCACGGACAGACUGGGAUGGGAAAGAGACAGGAUCGUCAUCUGGAUGUCAGACGAUGAGCCCGGAGCAAGCGUGGAGGUGGCAGGCACAGGCUUACAGGAUCUGUUUCCUGACCAGGAAUUGAAUGUGGGCCACAGCAGUGAAAGUGCCAAAUUCUAACCACUAGACCAGGGAGGAGCAGGGGACGACAGAAAAUGAGAUGGUUGGAUGGCAUCACCAACGCAAUGGACAUGAGUUUGAGCAAGCUCCGGGAGUUGGUGAUGGAGAAGCCUGGUGUGCUGCAGUCCAUGGGGUCACAAGGAGUCGGACACGACUGAGUGACUGAACUGAACUGAACUGAACUGAGACCAGGGAACUCCCUAUAUAUAUAUAUAUAUGUAUAUAUACUUUUUUCCUGGUUAAUGUAUUUAUUAUGUAACUGUUAGUUCUGAGACAAAGUCAAUUCCAAACAUACUAUUGAGGAUUCUGUAAUAGUUGACUUUAGCAAUGGCUUAUGCUUGUGCUCAGUCGCUUCAGUUGUGUCCGACUUUGCGACCCUAUGAACUGUAGCCCACCAGGCUCCUCAGUCCAUGGGAUUCUGGCAUAAUCCAAAC